rnacentral:rRNA from 1 species
CCCUUAGAUGUCCGGGGCUGCACGCGCGCUACACUGAAGGAAUCAGCGUGCUAAAACCAUUGUCGAAAGGCAUUGGUAAACCCAUUAAAAUCCUACGUGAUUGGGAUCGGGAAUUGCAAUUAUUUCCCUUGAACGAGGAAUUCCCAGUAAGUGUGGGUCAUAAGCUCGCGUUGAUUACGUCCCUGCCCUUUGUACACACCGCCCGUCGCUGCCCGGGACUGAGCCGUUUCGAGAAAAGCGGGGACUACUGCUGUCGGGGCUUUCGGGCCUUGGCUUCGGUGGAAACCGCUUUAAUCGCAGUGGCUUGAACCGGGCAAAAGUCGUAACA